rnacentral:misc_RNA from 1 species
AAACUAGAAAUACUCGAAAUUCGUUAUGGAUGCUCAAGGUUGCCUGGAGAAAUAGGAAAACUAAAAAAUCUAAGGUUGCUGGACUUGAGGGGGGUCGAUGGCCUUGAAUGCAUUCCAUCAGGUGUGUUGUUAGAGCUGUCUAAACUGGAAGAGUUGUAUUUGCCAUCUUACUUUGGGGAAUGGGAACCCAUGGAAGACGGAAAGAAAACCAAUGCAAGCCUCAGCGA